ACGUAGGGUGCGAGCGUUAAUCGGAAUUACUGGGCGUAAAGCGUGCGCAGGCGGUUGGGUAAGACAGAUGUGAAAUCCCCGAGCUUAACUUGGGAACUGCAUUUGUGACUGCCUAACUAGAGUAUGUCAGAGGGAGGUGGAAUUCCAAGUGUAGCAGUGAAAUGCGUAGAUAUUUGGAAGAACACCGAUGGCGAAGGCAGCCUCCUGGGAUAAUACUGACGCUCAUGCACGAAAGCGUGGGGAGCAAACAG
rnacentral:rRNA from 1 species